rnacentral:snoRNA from 1 species
AGGCAGCCUACUUGCUAAUAUUCAAUGGCAUGAGAGGUGUUUAACUGCUCGUAAAUCAAAUUCUUUUGCUCUUCAGAUUUGCUGAGAUUUUAUCUCUGAAGCUGGUCUAGUAAGCUAAAGUACAUU